UUCAGUGGCCAGGUUCAGCAUUCCAUGUCAGUGGUGAUCAUUUUACUGAGAAGGAAGCCAUGGGAUGGGCAGGUUCUUCUAAAGGUGAAUGGCUAUACAAGCUGUGAUACAACCAAACCACAGAAUGCCACUUAGAAAUAUAAAGGAACAGACUACUGAUACAUAAAACAACUUGGAUGAACCUCAGAGCAAUUAUCCUCAGUGGAAAAAGCCAACCUACAAUGAUUACCUAGUGAAUGAUUUCAUUUACGUAACAUUCUCGAAAUGCCAAGACCAUAGAAAUGGAAAACAGGUCUUCAAGUAAUUGGAUGAGGUCCAUCCACAUUAGGAAGGGAAAUCCACUUUACUCAGUCUGCUGACUCAAAUACAUCCAGAAUCACCCUUACAGACAUGCAGAAGAAAUUGUUUGAUUAAAUGUGCAGGCACUCCAUGGCCCGGUCACAUUGACAACUAAAAUUAACCAUCACAGGAGUCACGGAGUUUACACCAGAAAAAUCAAGCUUUGUCUGAAGACCAAGUUUAUUCCAAGGAGGGAUCAAUUUCCAUCUUUUUAAGGCAUUCUGCAUAAUCCAGCAUUUCCUCAGGAAAUCAGAUUGAAUCCCAAGCCUGGGCCAGAACUGUCUGGACCUGCAGGUGGAGCUUCAUUUGAUGGAUUUAGGAACAAGGAACCAGACAGAAUGUGAGCUUCAUGAAGGCAGACACCUUGUUUGGUUGACUGUGUAUGUCCAGCACCUUUAUUAACAGCCAUCACUGCGAUGCCAUACUAUUCCUUCAAUUUUACCCACUGCAACCUUCAAACCAGGACAUGAU